rnacentral:lncRNA from 1 species
UACAAGUGUGAGUGUAUGCACACCAUAGCACAUGUGUAGAGGUCAGGGGACAACUUUCAAGAGUCAGUUCUUUCCUUCUACCAUAUAUGUCCUGGGGAUGGAAUUCAGUCCCCAAGCUUGAUGGUAGAUACUUUACUUUGAGCCAUUUCACUGGGCCCCAAAGCAGUAGGUCUUAUUAACAAUGUUGCUACACAGACUAGCUAAAAUACAAGGGUACAGUACCAUGGAUACAGUGUCAUUCUAUUUCCUCCUUACAUUGUUAUAGCAGCUGCCCAGACCCACUCCCAUUCUAGAAGACACGUGUGGGAUUUCAAGAGUCUACACUCCUGGGACCCCCUGUCUGACUGCCUGUUGUCAGAUGUGAUCAGAGCCCUCUUGCUUAACUUUACUGGAGGACUAGAUCCAGUCUCAGACACCAGAACAACCCCCUGGUCUGACCCUGUGUGUGAGGCCCCUGCUCCUAAGUGAUGGCUGUUGGGAAGAUGAGAACAUCAUUACAGGAGACAUGGGAGGAAGUCCUUAAAGCCCUGAGCAGGAAGAGAACAUGGGGGAAUCCUGGGAAGGGAGAGUCCCUCUAUGUGGAACCAUUUAGGGUAGGCCUAAAGAAGAGCUAAGAGGUCUUAAUCUCUCUCCUUCCCUCACCUUCUCCCUCUCUUAGCCCUUCCCUUCCCUUCCCUUCCUCACUCCCUUUCCUUUUCGGAAAAAGACUUAAAAGCCAAGGCUGAUGGGAAGGGUGAAACCAAUCAGCACAUGGUCGCUGCCGAACGUGACAACCUGAGCUCCAUUCUCCAGAAGCUGUCUUCUGACUUCCAUGACAUGUGCACACACUCACACACUAAAUGCAUCAGCUUCUCAUCGCACAAUAGAACGUUUAACACCAAAGACAGGAGAAAGAGCAAGAGCCAGGAAUAAGCCACCAUCUUAACUGACACUUUAAGGUUAAAUGUAGACAAAGUCUAUGAAUAUAAUUUUAUGAGACUGUUUUCUGUAUCGCCUUUAUUUUCCUUAUGUUGUCUUAGGUGGUGAAGCUGACUGGGCUCCCCAACAGGGCCCCCUCCCUGGUACCCAUAGAAAAGCAGAAUGACUUUUAUUAAUAAAAAGUACAAACUGG